rnacentral:rRNA from 1 species
AGAUUAAGCCAUGCAUGUAUAAGUUUAAUCGUUUAUCGAGAAACCGCGAAACGGCUCAUUACAAUGGCCAUUAUUUACUUGAUCUUGAUUGUCUAAAUGGAUAACUGUGGAAAAGCUAGAGCUAAUACAUGCACUAAAGCUUUGUCCUUACGGAAAAGCGCAUUUAUUAGAACAAAACCACGCGGCUUCGGCUGCUUCUGUUGACUCAGAAUAACUUAGCUGACCGCAUGGCCUUGUGCCGGCGGCGUGUCUUUCAAGCGUCCACUUUAUCAACUUGACGGGAGCAUAAUCGACUCCCGUGGUGGUGACGGAUAACGGAGGAUCAGGGUUCGACUCCGGAGAAGGGGCCUGAGAAAUGGCCACUACGUCUAAGGAUGGCAGCAGGCGCGCAAAUUACCCACUCUCGGCUCCAGGAGGUAGUGACGAGAAAUAACGAGACUGUUCUCUUUGAGGCCGGUCAUCGGAAUGGGUACAAUUUAAACCCUUUAACGAGUAUCAAGGCAGAGGGCAAAGUCUGGUGCCAGCAGCCGCGGUAAUUCCAGCUCUGCAAAUACAUAGAAUUAUUGCUGCGGUUAGAAAGCUCAUAGUUGGAUUCGUAUCGAUACCUGGAACCCUUCGGGUGUCUCUAGGUGUUAUCGAUUUAUCGUAAUGUUCGGUUUUGAGUCCUUAACAGGAUUCUUAACAGGCAUUGCAAAGUUUACUUUGAACAAAUCAGAGUGCUUCAAACAGGCGUUUUCGCUUGAAUGAUCGUGCAUGGAAUAAUAGAAAAUGAUUUCGGUUCAGUUUUAUUGGUUUUACGGACUGAGAUAAUGGUUAACAGAGACAAACGGGGCAUUUGUAUGGUCCCGUGAGAGGUGAAAUUCUUGGACCGUGGCCAGACAAACUACAGCGAAAGCAUUUGCCAAAGAAUGUUUUUUAUUAAUCAAGAACGAAAGUCUUCCGGUUCCGGGGGAAGUAUGGUUGCAAAGCUGAAACUUAAGGGAAUUGACGGAAGGGCACCACCAGGAGUGGAGCCUGCGGCUUAAUUUGACUCAACACGGGGAAACUCACCCGGCCCGGACACUGUGAGGAUGACAGAUUGAUAGCUUUUUCAUGAUUCAGUGGAUGUGGUGCAUGGCCGUUCUUAGUUCGUGGAGUGAUUUGUCUGGUUUAUUCCGACCAGACAAAUGGUGGACUUUGCUCGUGGCUGCUUGAGCUUCCUUACGGGGCGGCGCUUGUGACUAGUAGUGAGGACUGCUUGUGGAGUGCUUCAGCUGCGUGCUAUUUCGCAAGAUAUAGUACUUCGAUUGGCGCUGAACAACCAGUUUAGAACUGGCACGAACUCCGGGAAUCCGACUGUCUAAUUAAACAGAGGAGACGGAUGGUCCUUGCAGGACGUUGACCGUGUCUGAUUUCUGCCCAGUGCUCUGAAUGUUAAGCCAAGGAAACUUGAUUAAGCGCGGGUAAACGCGGGAGUAACUAUGACUCUCUUAAGGUAGCCAAAUGCCUCGUCGGCUAACUACCGACGGCGCACGAAUGGAUCAACGAGAUUCCCACUGUCCCUAUCUACUAUCUAGCGAAACCACAGCCAAGGGAACGGGCUUGGCAAAUUUAGCGGGAAAGAAGACCCUGUUGAGCUUGACUCUAGUCUGACUUUGUGAAGAAUCAUGAGAGGUGUAGCAUAAGUGGGAGUCGCAAGACAACAGUGAAAUACCACUACUUUCAUCGAUUCCUUACUUAAUCGGUAAAACGGGAGUUGUGUCUAAGGACCUUCAUUUUUGUUUUAAGACUAGCCACUCGGUGGUUGGUUGACUCGCGCGAUGACAUUGUCAGGCGGGGAGUUUGACUGGGGCGGUACAUCUGUCAAAUUGUAACGCAGGUGUCCUAAGGCGAGCUCAGAGAGGACGGAAACCUCUCGUUGAGCAAAAAGGCAAAUGCUUACUUGAUCUUGAUUUUCAGUACGAAUACAGACCGCGAAAGCGUGGCUUAUCGAUCCUUUUGAGUUUGUAAAGUUUACAGCAAGAGGUGUCAGAAAAGUUACCACAGGGAUAACUGGCUUGUGGCGGCCAAGCGUCCAUAGCGACGUCGCUUUUUGAUCCUUCGAUGUCGGCUCUUCCUAUCAUUGCGAAGCAGAAUUCGCCAAGCGUUGGAUUGUUCACCCACCAAUAGGGAACGUGAGCUGGGUUUAGACCGUCGUGAGACAGGUUAGUUUUACCCUACUAAAUACUUGUUGCUAUGAUGGUAUCCUGCUUAGUACGAGAGGAACCGCAGGUUCAGACAUUUGGUUCAUGUGCUUGGUCGAUAGGCCAAUGGCGCGAAGCUACCAUCUGAGGGAUUAUGACUGAACGCCUCUAAGUCAGAAUCCCGCCAGUCAUGAUAGCAAUAUAUAUCGCUCUCCGGUGUCGGAAGGCAAAAUGUAUGCCAUUUUUUGUGGUAGUACAAGCCCCAGUAUCUGGCAUUUUCUUUCUACUAUAAUUGGUAGUUGGUUGCUAAAAGCUUAGCACUCCUCGUGCAUGUGUAACGUCGGGGCGCAAAAUCACUUGU